UACGUAGGGUGCAAGCGUUAAUCGGAAUUACUGGGCGUAAAGCGUGCGCAGGCGGUUUGCCAAGACCGAUGUGAAAUCCCCGGGCUUAACCUGGGAACUGCAUUGGUGACUGGCGGGCUAGAGUAUGGGAGAGGGGGGUAGAAUUCCACGUGUAGCAGUGAAAUGCGUAGAGAUGUGGAGGAAUACCGAUGGCGAAGGCAGCCCCCUGGGCCAAUACUGACGCUCAUGCACGAAAGCGUGGGGAGCAAACAGG
rnacentral:rRNA from 1 species